GGACCCGCACAAGCGGUGGAUUAUGUGGAUUAAUUCGAUGCAACGCGAAAAACCUUACCUACCCUUGACAUGUCCUGAAUCCUGGAGAGAUCCGGGGGUGCCCGAAAGGGAACGGGAACACAGGUGCUGCAUGGCUGUCGUCAGCUCGUGUCGUGAGAUGUUGGGUUAAGUCCCGCAACGAGCGCAACCCUUGUCAUUAGUUGCUACCGCAAGGAGCACUCUAAUGAGACUGCCGGUGACAAACCGGAGGAAGGUGGGGAUGACGUCAAGUCCUCAUGGCCCUUAUGGGUAGGGCUUCACACGUAAUACAAUGGUCGGUACAGAGGGUUGCCAAGCCGCGAGGCGGAGCCAAUCCCAGAAAGCCGAUCGUAGUCCGGAUCGCAGUCUGCAACUCGACUGCGUGAAGUCGGAAUCGCUAGUAAUCGCGGAUCAGCAUGUCGCGGUGAAUACGUUCCCGGGUCUUGUACACACCGCCCGUCACACCAUGGGAGCGGGUUUCACCAGAAGCCGGUCGCCUAACCGCAAGGGGGGCGCCGACCACGGUGAGAUUCGUGACUGGGGUGAAGUCGUAACAAGGUAGCCGUAUCGGAAGGUGCGGCU
rnacentral:rRNA from 1 species